GUUGAAUCAAGGCUCAGGCAGAGAGGAUCACUUUUCAAAGAUUGUAAAAGAAGUUACGUGGAUAGUGUGUUAUGCAUCAAGGUUAUCAGUUGACAUCCAGCUUUAUGAAACAUAUGUGAGCUGCAAGCAAUUCGUAACUGCUACUUUCAAGCAUUGGAAAGGAAUGGAAAAUCAGAAGACGUGUUAAGAUCACACAAACCAGAGGUGAAAGCUGAAUCUGAGAGGCUUCUGUUUCCAGCAAUAAGCUUGCCCAGCAAGAUUCCCUUCCAAUCUUUUCUGAAUGAUGAGAACACACAGG
rnacentral:lncRNA from 1 species